rnacentral:rRNA from 1 species
AUGUUUUACGAAUUCACAAAUGUUUUGCAACGCAAGUAUUUGAAAAUUAGUAAUAACUACAUGCAACUAAAAAUCCAAAAAAAAGUUAGUAACGGCGCACCAGGAGAAGGUGCGCCAUUGCUAUCACGGUGUUUAUGCCGCACCCCUAAAAGAUGCUCCAUUGCUAACUCUCCCCCCACUAAAACAGGCAAAGAUAAAAAAAAACUUCGAUCCCAAAUCCCCAAUCCCCACUGCUGCCCCCGAGCCCUCAACCUGCUGCUCCCGACCUGCACCGCCGCCCCGACCGACUGCGCUGCCGCCCCUACCUGCGCCGCCGCCCAGACCCACUACGCAACCGCCCAGUGUUCCUCUUCAUCGUCAUCGUCCCUCGGCCAAGGCUGA